rnacentral:lncRNA from 1 species
GAACAACAUUCGGUAACCACACAUAUAACUCAACUCAUUACAGGAAUCAGGGAAUUUGCCGUCUGGCUGAUCUUUGCCGUCUGCUGGCUGAUGGCAAAGAGAUUCUUUGUCGUCAGCUACCAGCAAACAGAUGGCAAAGAACUAACUAAUGGCAAAGAUACUCUUUAUCGUCAGCCUAGGGCCUCUUUGCGUUCUGCCUCGACCCCUUUGUCGCCAGCUUAUCCCCUGGCGGAUGACAAAGGGGACGGCCUUCUAACAGCGCCCCAUCUCUCCACCCCCAUCUGCCCUCCCUCGAUCCCCAUUCUCCCUCUCCCAGAUCCACACCCCUCUUCCUCUCCUCCCCGCUCCCAUCCGACAGGCAGAAUGAGCCCCCGCCCCAAACCCUAGCCACCGGGGAGCUGGUCUGGGCCAAGACCAAGGGCCACCACCACUGGUGGCCAGCGCGC